UGAGCUGCAGCUGUGGGGGGAAAUGGUGGUGGCUGUGGUGAGGAGGCAGUGGCAGCCGCCGCGGGCUGCUGUGAGGAGGUGGCGGCAGAGGUAGCUGCAGCCCUAGCCUGGCCAUCGCAGCCAUGACCUGAGAGAAGGCGGGAGGCAGCGGGACAGACUGGCCCUGGAGGUGCCUACAGGGACUCAUAACAAGAUGUCCAAAGCAGCUAACAUCAACAUAGAUUAAAAGCAAGUUUAAGUGUUGGUACAUGAAAGCAAACCAUAGAGCACAAACAGAAAAUGAGCAGCAGAAAUCACCAGCAAACUUGGGAGAAAGUCACUCUGUAAAUAUGCUGAAAAUGAAAUAUUUUGGCCUGGUAUCCUACAGGGUUGAUUUGAUUUAAAUCAAAUCCAUUUAAAUCAUUAUUUAAAUCAUGAUUUAAAUUGCUUCACAGAAGGACUCAAUUUUAAUGAGUUAAAUCACAAUUUAAAUUACAAGUCAGAAAACUCUAUUUAAUCAUCAUUUUCUAUAACAGUACAUUCUUAUUGUCUAAUAUAACCUUCUAUUAUAUUAAUUCUCCUGGGUGUGCCUUGGAAUGUGCGUCCCAGAGUCCAGCUGAUUGGCUGGGCAGUGGACGCACCUGAUUGGCUGAGGUGCACCCAGGAGGAUUGGUUGCCACCACGGCCCAGCCAUGGAGGCCAGAGGUGGCCAGAGGUGGUGGGCCCGGCCCGGCCACGGAGGCAAGGCCCAGGAGGGGGGAAAGAAAGUGGGGGCAGAAGUGGCAGUGGGGAGGAGAGGUGGCUGGGCCCAGAAGCAGAGACUGGGGCAGAAGGGUGGGGGGAGAGGUAACCCAAAGAGUACACAGAUGCUCUGUGCGGGGUCAGCUAGUAAUACAUAUUUAGAGAUAAAUACAUAUUUAGAGAUAAAUGUAGGUUUCGUUUUGAAAAGGUACACACUGUAAUAGGUACACACUUCUCAUAAUGCUGUUUCAUUCGGGCAACCAGGCUUUGCAUUUCAUUGUUGCACUGUUUGCAUUUUGCACGUAUGCCUGUCUUACCCACAGGUACAGGAACUUCAUUAAAAUAUUCCCCAAAUGAGUCUCUUUUAUGGUCUACUGCCAUGAUAGGUGUUCCCUUCUAAAACUGAGAAAAAUGUUUCCUCAGGACUGCAUGAAUAUGUUCUGUUCACAUAGGAAGCUGCCAUAUACUGAGUCAGACCCUAGGUCUACCUAGCUCAGUAUUGUCUUCACAGGCUGGCAGCGGCUUCUCCAAAGAUGCAGGCAGGAAUCUCUCUCAGCCCUGUCUUGGAGAUGCUGCCAGGGAGGGAACUUGGAACCUUCUGCUCUUCCCAGAGCUGCUCCAUCCCUCAGAGGAAUCUCUUACAGUGCUAAAACUUCUAGUCUCAUAUUCAUAUGCAACCAGGGUGGACCCUGCUUAGCUAAGGGGGCAAGUCAUGCUUGCUACCACAAGACCAGCUCUCCUCUCUCGUUUGGUUUCACUUUGCAUUUCCCUCCUCUCCAUGUAUAGAAAUAGGAUGUAGAAAUGUUAUAAAUAAAUAAUAAUCAAUAUUUUUAUUUUUAGGAAAAAAGUAAAGACGUGGCUUUUCACCCAACCUUUUGAAUGAGAGCAUUUUGUUGUUACUGCUGCUGCUUUGUGUUAUGUAUUAUCAUUAUUAUGUUAUGGGUUAUUAAAUUUUUAUAGAGAGAUUAUUUUUAUAUUUAUAUUAUUUGUACUUUUAUAUUAUGUAUUCCAAUUUUUGAGAUCAUCUGUACCUUUGUAUUUUAAUUAUACAUUGUUUCAA